CCCUCCUACAAAGGCGUGCUGGUGGUUUCCUGUCCUUGGACUUGUAAGAAUUGGAGGCAAAGAGCUGUGAACUUGGAGAAGGCUGGAGCCAGCUUGCUCCCUGCAGGCUCAAGAUCACCCUCCCACACAG
rnacentral:snoRNA from 1 species